rnacentral:rRNA from 1 species
UUUAGCCAUGCAUGUGUAAGCGAACAAUAGGGAGCUGCGGACUGCUCAGUAACAGGCGAUUAAUUUUAUCUUUACAAACGGACAAGCUCAGGAAACGGAGUGUAAUACGUAAAAGACGAAUUUUUAAAUAAAAAGAAAACGUUUUUAGCUUGAAUAAAGCGGUAAAGAAUAAGACGCCAACCCAUCAGUUAGUAAGUAGGGUAAGGGCCUAUUUAGACGAAUACGGGUACGGGGAAUUAGGGUUUGAUUCCGGAGAGGGAGCCUGAGAGACGGCUACCAGGUCCAAGGACGGCAGCAGGCGCGAAAAUUACCGAAGCUCAAAUAGAGGCGGUAGUAAUGAGACGUAAAAAAAUAAUAUAAGGGUAAAAAACUUAUUAAUAACUGGAGGUCAAGUCUGGUGCCAGCAUCCGCGGUAAUACCAGCUCCAGGGGUGUCUAUGAUGAUUGCUGCGAUUAAAAGGUCCGUAGUCGAAUUUAGAUAAUUGUUUGUAAUAUGUUAGAUAAAAUAAUAAAAAGAACAAUUAGUUAAAUGAAAGGAAUAGCAAGAGGUUGAUUAAUCGAGUAACGAGAGGUGAAAUUUGAUGACUUACUUGGGAGAAACAGAGGCGAAAGCGUCAAUCAAGUGUAAAUCCGAUGAUCAAGGACGUAGGCUGGAGUAUCGAACACGAUUAGAUACCGUAGUAGUUCCAGCAGUAAACUAUGCCUACGCCAUUGAAUAAAAGUUUGGUGGACGAGAAAUCUAGAGUAGGGCUUGGGGAAGAGUACACGCGCAAGCGAUAAAUUUAAAGG